rnacentral:rRNA from 1 species
UAGAGUUUGAUCAUGGCUCAGAACGAACGCUGGCGGCAGGCCUAACACAUGCAAGUCGAGCGCGCCUUCGGGUGAGCGGCGGACGGGUUAGUAACGCGUGGGAACGUGCCCUUCUCUACGGAAUAGCCUCUGGAAACGGAGAGUAAUACCGUAUACGCCCUUUGGGGGAAAGAUUUAUCGGAGAAGGAUCGGCCCGCGUUAGAUUAGGUAGUUGGUGGGGUAACGGCCUACCAAGCCUACGAUCUAUAGCUGGUUUUAGAGGAUGAUCAGCAACACUGGGACUGAGACACGGCCCAGACUCCUACGGGAGGCAGCAGUGGGGAAUCUUAGACAAUGGGGGCAACCCUGAUCUAGCCAUGCCGCGUGAGUGAUGAAGGCCUUAGGGUCGUAAAGCUCUUUCGCCUGUGAUGAUAAUGACAGUAGCAGGUAAAGAAACCCCGGCUAACUCCGUGCCAGCAGCCGCGGUAAUACGAAGGGGGUUAGCGUUGUUCGGAAUUACUGGGCGUAAAGCGCGCGUAGGCGGAUUAGAAAGUUGGGGGUGAAAUCCCGGGGCUCAACCUCGGAACUGCCUCCAAAACUGCUAGUCUAGAGUUCGAGAGAGGUGAGUGGAAUUCCGAGUGUAGAGGUGAAAUUCGUAGAUAUUCGGAGGAAC